GUCUCGUGAGACAGCGGCUGCAACCCUAGAGCGCGAUCUAACGUUCCGAGAUGAUCCUGCCAGCUGCUGAGUUCCCUUGUGGGGUCCCAUUAGAGGGGACCAAGGACAUUGCUAGUGCUUUACAAGUAAGAACUUUUACUCAAGGUAACUGUGUAUGCUUUACACUUUUCUGUUUCUGCAGUUAGCCUUUUCACUUUUCAGUUUACCGCCUCUGCAGUAAUUUAUAUUUUAACAAGUUCAGGUAAUAUUGCAGAUGUAUGUACAAUCUGAGGUAAAUAAAUCUUGAGUCACAGUUGCAAUCAAAGAGAAGUAAUCUCUUAUAGCAGCUACAAAUUUGCUCCGCUGCAAAGCCCCACUGA